AUGCUACAACCAGGGGUUGCUGGUUUUUGCUUGGAUUGCCCCGCUGUCCUGCAUGCAUCAACAGCGGCCAGCAGCUACCCAUGCUGCGACCAGCAGGUCCCAGCGACGAAGAUGACGGCCUCCCGGUGCUUCAAUCAAAAUUUUGCUGGAACUAGCUCUCUGUUUUGCUGGAAACGGCGUCGCAGGAUGCUGGGACGGGCUCUCUGUUUUGCUACAAUCAAUCACCAGGAGUUCUUCCUAAUGAGUUGUUUUGCUGGAACCGGUGUUCCAUUUUGCUGGAACCGUGUAAUUUUUUGCUACAAUCGAUCAAUGAAGUUUUCGCUGAUGAGUUGUUAUUUGCUGGAACCGGUGUUCAAUUUUGUUGGAACCAGGUAA
rnacentral:rRNA from 1 species